AGCUGAAUAUAGCAUCCCGAUUUAAUCGGGACGGUCUCAGGUUCGAAUCCUGA
rnacentral:tRNA from 1 species